rnacentral:lncRNA from 1 species
CAACUCUCCAUCCAAAUAACAAUUUAAAAAAAGUAAACCAUUAUAGGUCAAUGUACGGCCUUCAACACGGAGCCUUGGCUCACACCGAACAACAAUUAAGCUAUAAAGGGCCCCAAAAUUACUAGUGUAAAACCAUUCAAACGGGAAAACCAACGGUCUAAUCUAUAUAAAAUAAAAAAAACGAAAAACGAGAAACACGUAUAAAUUACAUAAAAAAACGAUAACUACUGUACAUCAGAUUCCUGACUUAGGACAGGUGCAAACAUUUGCAGCGGGAUUAAACGUUUUAAUGGAUCGAAACUCUCUCCCUUUUUCCGAAACAAUAGCAUAUCAUCACAACAUAGAAAAACACACAUUAAAAUGUCAAUUGGCAGGCUUAACUCAAUCAAAAAACGUACAUUAAUACACUAUAAACGAAUAAAUUCGAUCUGCGAUAUCUGAAUGCAAAUGCACAGUUAAUAAAAUAUUAGGGACAAACAUUCAAGGCCAAAAAGCAAACAAACAAGUCCAAACAAAGCCAGUCUUAACAUAAAUAAGAUCAUUGUUUUUCAAGUCUUUUUUUCAUUGUUUAGAAUUGUGCCAUGCCAGAGCAUUUUAUAGCUUAGCAUACGGUAUGUGUUUUGCUCAUUGUUGGCGGAUGUGACAAU